rnacentral:tRNA from 1 species
GGUUUCGUGGCCGAGUGGCUAGGCAGAGGUCUGCAAAACCUUGUACGGCGGUUCGAAUCCGCCCGAAACCUCAA